rnacentral:ribozyme from 1 species
UGAAGAAGGGAAUGAAGUUCACGUGGACGGAAGAGAUGAAGACAACCUUCUGCUCACUGAAGGAGGCGAUUAUCAACAUCACCUCCCUGUACAUCCCCGAUCCUGA